rnacentral:lncRNA from 10 species
GGGAGAGUUGUGAGUAGGCCUCCAGCCCACAGCCAUGUGAGUGACCCUUUUGAAGAGUGGAUCUUCCAGGCCCAGUCAAGCCUUCAGAUGACUGCAGCCCCAGCCAACAUCUUGGGAGACCCCGAGUCAGAAACCCCCGCUAAGUCACUUCCAGAUCCCUAAGUCUCAGAAACUGAAGAAAAAAAAAAUCAGCCACCUGAGGGCCAAUCUGAUGCUCGGGGAGAUGGAGUAUCUUCUUCCAUCACAGAUAGUGGGACUCUGUGCUGAUGCCAGUAAGUAAAGAAGAAGGAAUAAGAAAGACACUGUGUGAUCUAGUAUUAAUAAGGAAGUAAGUGAUCAGAUUACUCCAGCUAGGUCAGUAGAAUCUAUCAUCAAGCAAGUUGAGGCCGACAGCAUUCACAAAUCAACUGUCUACGUUUAUACUCACUGAUGACCUGUGUUUCCUUUCGAGGACAAGCAAGCUUUUUAAAUGAUCAAGAC